ACGUCGUCGUCUUGAACUUGGGGAAAAUCUCGAGUAGAGGUAGAGCCCAUUGUCUCUCGUGUUGCGGUUGAGAUAUCAUCGAAGAAGAGAGAUGAAGAAAGCCAGCAUCUUUGCCAUCGCCGCAGCCUCCUCAGCGGCUGUUGCCGCUGGCUCCAGCACCUCCCCUAGUGAGGUAUCUGGAGCGAGGGGGAAAGAGGCAGGAUCUGGGUCACAGAGGAAGGGCGACUUCGCUCCGAGAUUCGACGGCUUUGCGCUUCAUCGAGACGCUUGUGACGGCGCAUCGGUGAUCGGCGUUCGGCUUCUUCUAAUUUGAGAGAGAGAGAGGGUGUGAUUGUGAUUGUGAUUUGUGAUAUGAUUUACGAGUUGAGUUUUGAUGGAGAUCUCAUAAAUUAAGAGAUCGUGAUUCGUGGCGUCAAAAACGCUGCAGGUUUUUUUUGUUUAGAUUGGUAAUUUGCUGGUCUUAUUAUUAUUAUUAUUAUUAUU